GACCAGACUCCUACGGGAGGCAGCAGUGGGGAAUAUUGCACAAUGGGGGAAACCCUGAUGCAGCGACGCCGCGUGAGCGAUGAAGUAUUUCGGUAUGUAAAGCUCUAUCAGCAGGGAAGAAAAUGACGGUACCUGACUAAGAAGCCCCGGCUAACUACGUGCCAGCAGCCGCGGUAAUACGUAGGGGGCAAGCGUUAUCCGGAUUUACUGGGUGUAAAGGGAGCGUAGACGGCUGUGCAAGCCAGAUGUGAAAGCCCGGGGCUCAACCCCGGGACUGCAUUUGGAACUGUGUGGCUGGAGUGUCGGAGAGGCAGGCGGAAUUCCUAGUGUAGCGGUGAAAUGCGUAGAUAUUAGGAGGAACACCAGUGGCGAAGGCGGCCUGCUGGACGAUGACUGACGUUGAGGCUCGAAAGCGUGGGGAGCAAACAGGAUUAGAUACCCUCGUA
rnacentral:rRNA from 1 species